AUGUGUUAUUUACCAAAGGGCUAGAAGACGCAGAGGUAUAACGGAAGUCCUGGUUGGGAGCCCGGGAAAACUGCACCCGGUGAGCUCAUUCGCUGGCUGACUUGGGCACGCCCCCUCGGAAGCUCAGUUUCCCCAUCCGUAAAACCUGGAGCCGCGCGGGAUGCCGUCCAGCGUGCCUUCCAGUCCCAAUCCCGCGCCCCUGGCUGGACGUGCAGGGAGCUCACCGCCCGGGAGAAGUGUCCAGGUGCGUUCGCCGAGCGGACCCGGCGCGUCCCACCCGGGGACCCCGGCCCGCGGUCGCGGACAGCGCCCCCGACGCCCCUCCCCCAGCAGGACUGCCCGCACUGGCUCCAGGCCCGUUAUUCCCUCGCCGCGGGCUACUCCCCCGGCCCGUGCCGUCCCCGGCCCUUCUCUCCGGGCUCACCUCUCUCGGGAGACCAGGUCGGGCUUCCGCAGCCACUCCGCAUGCAAAAGCGCCUCCGGGUACCUCACGGCCCCUCCGGAUCCACCGCGGCUCAAGCCCGAGGGGCACCGAGAACAAUGGACGGGAGAGGCCCGCCCCCCGCCGCGCUUAUUGGCCACCGAGAACGGCCCCUGGAAACCCUGCUCUCCUACUGGCUCUACUGAGGCGUCCGGGGAGGGAGGUUAGGCCGAGGGCAUUGUGGGAGUUGUAGUCCACCGCGGCUGCCGGGCCCGCGGGCUGGGAGAGCCGCGCAGGGUGGACUGUCCCGGCUGUACCGCAGGCAAAUCCGCGGACCGGCCCUCAGGACAGGACCCCAGGGUUGGCGAGAGCUGUGACCUAGAACGGGUCAUUUCACUUCCCUAAGGCCUCCGUGUACUUGCCUGUAAAAAAUGAAACUUGUGUGGAGGGGACUGCGUGGCAAGGCAUGUUUUAGGCGCCCCCAAGACUGUGCCCGGAACAGGCAGGAGUCGGCCCGAGGGAAGCACGCCCCUCCCCCCGGGGGCCCCAGCCCGGCGCCCCCUCCCCGAACCCACAGGUCCACGGUCGCACCUGGCCUCGGCACACCCCUUUGUUUUCGCACGUGGCGUCCCUGCUGCUGGAGGCAAGUCCCCGCCUCUGCUACGGAAGAACUGCCCCUGGUCUUCUUUGGUUCCCCUGGUCCUCUCGGAGCCUGGUCCGUCGUCACCUCCCCGGGCGCGGACGCCGCUCCCAGCGCCCCUGUUCCGCGGCUCCGUGUCGGUCACCGACCCCAGCCUUGCUCGCCGUGGGUCUCAGCACUGGGAGAUGAGAGUGGGAGGAGCUCGGCCUGUGUCCUGCGCGCAGAUGGCGCCCUCGAAGACAGGACUGCCCCAACGCCGCAUGCCAACAGGUGGGAAAUGCCGACAGGAUGUCAGCCUCUUCUCUCUUACGGGUUGAGCAGCGUGCAUCCUGGAUCCAGCAGUUACAGGAAACGCUAGAACCCAAGACAGCCUUCGUGGCCAGCGUGAGCCUGCAGGUGACUCGCCCAACAUCGGUGGACUUGGACGUGCCCCCCGAGGUCUCUUCCGUCUGCAGCAGCAGGGACCUGCUUGGCAGAGGGUGGAGGCGUGGAUGCUGGUGGGAGGCCGGGUACUGUGGGUCCCUGCCCUGCUGUGACUCGGAGCCUACUGCUUGCGCUCUGGCCGGGCAGCAAGGCCAGUACGGGAUUUCGGUGGCACAUAAAGUGAGCUUGGGGCGCAGGGGCACGCUGCCGUGUCUCACUGAUCCUGAGACGCACAUCUUGUUACCUUGUAGCAGCAUCACUGGAAGUCAGGACGCACCUUACAUUGCCAACAUGUCAGAGUUUCAUCGGCAGUUUUGUUCCCUUUCUAGCGGCACAUAGUGGCAUUUUAGAUGAAAUACGGUAACUUAUUUGGGCUGAGGUGUACCAGCCCGGCUCUUGAUAUCCUGGGCCCAGAAGUUCUCACAGAAGAGACACUCCCAUCUCCUGUGGGAACCACCCGUAACAGGAAGUAGAGCAAUGAACAAAUUCGUAAAUCAGGGGCCUCGGAUCCCUGUUGUAGGUAAUAAACAUUCACUGUAAUUAAUGUGACCGUUUGUGGCGCACAGGUAUCCGUGCUUGAUACUGUUUCUCAAAGUCAAGUCCAGGCUGUGAAACAAAAGUUCUUCCAUGUGCUCAUGGUGAGUCAAGGCCUUAGUGAAGGCAGAACUCCAUGUUGAAAUGAAUGCCUCAUCCACCUCAACAACAGCAGUUUUCCGCCCCUUUUUAAAAAACUGUGGGGCGCCUGGGUGGCUCUGUUGGUUAAGCCUCCGACUUCGGCUCAGGUCAGAU